UAACUGGGCGUAAAGGGCACGCAGGCGGUGACUUAAGUGAGGUGUGAAAGCCCCGGGCUUAACCUGGGAAUUGCAUUUCAUACUGGGUCGCUAGAGUACUUUAGGGAGGGGUAGAAUUCCACGUGUAGCGGUGAAAUGCGUAGAGAUGUGGAGGAAUACCGAAGGCGAAGGCAGCCCCUUGGGAAUGUACUGACGCUCAUGUGCGAAAGCGUGGGGAGCAAACAGGAUUAGAUACCCUGGUAGUCCACGCUGUAAACGAUGUCGAUUUGGGGGUUGAGCUUUGAGCUUGGCGCCCGUAGCUAACGUGAUAAAUCGACCGCCUGGGGAGUACGGCCGCAAGGUUAAAACUCAAAUGAAUUGACGGGGGCCCGCACAAGCGGUGGAGCAUGUGGUUUAAUUCGAUGCAACGCGAAGAACCUUACCUACUCUUGACAUCCAGAGAACAUUCCAGAGAUGGAUUGGUGCCUUCGGGAACUCUGAGACAGGUGCUGCAUGGCUGUCGUCAGCUCGUGUCGUGAGAAG
rnacentral:rRNA from 1 species